rnacentral:rRNA from 1 species
UACGUAGGUGACAAGCGUUGUCCGGAUUUACUGGGCGUAAAGAGCGCGCAGGCGGUCGUUCAAGUCGAGUGUGAAAGCCCCGGGCUCAACCUGGGAAUGCCAUUUGAGACUGCAUAGCUAGGGUACGGAAGAGGGAAGCGGAAUUUCAGGUGUAGCGGUGAAAUGCGUAGAUAUCUGAAGGAACACCAGUGGCGAAAGCGGCUUCCUGGUCCAGUACCGACGUUCAGGCACGAAAGCGUGGGGAGCAAACAGG